rnacentral:misc_RNA from 1 species
AACGCAUAUUGCGCUCUUUGGUAUUCCGAAGAGCAUGCUUGUUUGAGUAUCAGUAAACACCUCAAAGACUUCAAUUUGUUUUGAAUGGCUUUGGACUUGAGCAAUCCCAACACCAGUCUUUACGAUCGGUGGAGGGUUGCUUGAAAUGCAGGUGCAGCUGGACAUUCUCCUGAGCUAAAAGCAUAUUCAUUUAGUCCCGUCAAACGGAUUAUUACUUUUGCUGCAGCUAACAUAAAGGGAGUUUGACCGUAUUGGCUGACUGAUGCAGGAUUUCACAAGGGUCGGCAACGAUUCUUGUUAAACUCGAUCUCAAAUCAAGUAAGACUACCCGCUGAACUUAA